rnacentral:rRNA from 1 species
UGAGGAAUAUUGGGCAAUACCCGCAAGGGUGACCCAGCAACGCCGCGUGGAGGAUGAAUGUCGUAAGAUUGUAAACUCCUGUUAGGGGGGAAGAAUAGUACCGGUUGGACCGGUAUAUGACUGUACCCUCAGAGAAAGCCCCGGCUAACUACGUGCCAGCAGCCGCGGUAAUACGUAGGGGGCAAGCGUUGUCCGGAUUUACUGGGUGUAAAGGGCGCGCAGGCGGGAUAAAAAGUCAGUGGUGAAAUCCUACAGCUUAACUGUAGAACUGCCUUUGAUACUUUUAUUCUUGAGUUCGGGAGAGAGAGACGGAAUUCCAGGUGUAGUGGUGAAAUACGUAGAUAUCUGGAAGAACACCAGUUGCGAAGGCGGUCUCUUGGUCCGACACUGACGCUGAGGCGCGAAAGCGUGGGGAGCAAACA